rnacentral:rRNA from 1 species
ACGAACGCUGGCGGCGUGCUUAACACAUGCCAGUCGAACGGAAAGGCCCUGCUUUUGUGGGGUGCUCGAGUGGCGAACGGGUGAGUAACACGUGAGUAACCUGCCCUUGACUUUGGGAUAACUUCAGGAAACUGGGGCUAAUACCGGAUAGGAGCUCCUGCUGCAUGGUGGGGGUUGGAAAGUUUCGGCGGUUGGGGAUGGACUCGCGGCUUAUCAGCUUGUUGGUGGGGUAGUGGCUUACCAAGGCUUUGACGGGUAGCCGGCCUGAGAGGGUGACCGGCCACAUUGGGACUGAGAUACGGCCCAGACUCCUACGGGAGGCAGCAGUGGGGAAUAUUGCACAAUGGGCGGAAGCCUGAUGCAGCAACGCCGCGUGCGGGAUGACGGCCUUCGGGUUGUAAACCGCUUUCGCCUGUGACGAAGCGUGAGUGACGGUAAUAGGUAAAGAAGCACCGGCUAACUACGUG